UACGGGGGGGGUAAGCGUUGUUCGGAAUUACUGGGCGUAAAGGGCUCGUAGGCGGCCAACUAAGUCAUACGUGAAAUCCCUCGGCUUAACCGGGGAACUGCGUCUGAUACUGGAUGGCUUGGAGAUUGGGAGAGGGAUGCGGAAUUCCAGGUGUAGCGGUGAAAUGCGUAGAUAUCUGGAGGAACACCGGUGGCGAAGGCGGCAUCCUGGACCAACACUGACGCUGAGGAGCGAAAAGCCAGGGGAGCAAACGGG
rnacentral:rRNA from 1 species